GACGAACGCUGGCGGCGUGCUUAACACAUGCAAGUCGAACGAUGAACCCGGAGCUUGCUCCGGUGGAUUAGUGGCGAACGGGUGAGUAACACGUGAGUAACCUGCCCUUGACUCUGGGAUAACUGCGGGAAACUGUAGCUAAUACCGGAUACGACCCUCGGCGGCAUCGCCAGGGGGUGGAAAGAAUUUCGGUCAAGGAUGGACUCGCGGCCUAUCAGCUAGUUGGUGAGGUAACGGCUCACCAAGGCGACGACGGGUAGCCGGCCUGAGAGGGGGACCGGCCACACUGGGACUGAGACACGGCGCAGACUACUGCGGGAGGCAGUAGUGGGGAAUAUUGCGCAAGGGGCGAAGGCCUGACGCAGCAACGCCGCGUGCGGGAUGAGGGCCUUCGGGUUGUAAACCGCUUUCAGCAGGGAAGAAGCGAAAGUGACGGUACCUGCAGAAAAAGCACCGGCUAACUACGUGCCAGCAGCCGCCGUAA
rnacentral:rRNA from 1 species